ACUUCCUAAUAAUCAGUGAAAGAUAAACAACAAAUUUCUUCAACAAAAAUACAUUACAAUAUUUAAAAUGAAAACCUUACUCAUAAUUCUUACUGUUUUCGUGGUAGCUUUAAUAUCUGUGACCAGGAGCACCCAUUUAGAUUGUGUUGAAAAUCCCGUAGAAGGUGUAGUCGAUUCAUCGACGGAAGUAGUGGAGCUAUUCAGUGGCGCGGGAGUCUCUCGUCAACGUAUCUGUACGGCAGCGCUGUGUCGCAGUGUGUGUCAGUCACUCGGAUUCCCGAUAUCCUUCUGUAACAUUCAACUCAUCUGUGUCUGCAGACGUUAAUAUUACUUCCUUGUUUAAUUAUAAUAAUAAUUUAAUUUAUAUUAUUUAUUAUUCCUAGUUUGUAUGUUCUGCGUUUCUAAAUGUCUAAUUUACAUAUUGUUAAUUAGUUAAUUUAUUCGAUUAAAAAAAUUAUAUUAAAAUGUUCAA